rnacentral:rRNA from 1 species
UYAAUGGGAGUUUUCGAACCCCAAAGGCGCAAUGAAAGUGAGGUCAGGGGCCGAAAAUUUAUAUUUUCGGCGCCCGAAUUUUUUUUUUUUUAUGUCUGAUGAGGGGCGAUAGCCGCGGCCUAGGGGAAUUUUAUUUCCCGCGUACGGCUCGCAACCCGUGGGKGUCGUYGCGGCCCGCCUUCGGGCGGCUCGGGCGGCGUACCGAGAGCGUACACGUUGGUACCCGAAAGAUGGUGAACUAUGCCUGGCCAGGACGAAGCCAGGGGAAACCCUGGUGGAGGUCCGUAGCGAUUCUGACGUGCAAAUCGAUCGUCUGAGCUGGGUAUAGGACG